UACAGAGGUCUCAAGCGUUGUUCGGAUUCAUUGGGCGUAAAGGGCGCGUAGGCGGCCUCUUAAGUCGAACGUGAAAUCCCCGGGCUUAACCCGGGAACUGCGUCCGAUACUGGGAGGCUUGAAUUCGGGAGAGGGAUGCGGAAUUCCAGGUGUAGCGGUGAAAUGCGUAGAUAUCUGGAGGAACACCGGUGGCGAAGGCGGCAUCCUGGACCGACAUUGACGCUGAUGCGCGAAAGCCAGGGGAGCAAACGGG
rnacentral:rRNA from 1 species